rnacentral:rRNA from 1 species
AAUGAACGUUGGCGGCGUGGAUUAGGCAUGCAAGUCGAGCGAGAACCCGCAAGGGGGACAGCGGCAAACGGGGUAGUAAUGUGUCGGAACGUGCCCUCUGGACGGGGAUAGCGGCGGGAAACUGCCGGUAAUACCCGAUGAACUCGAGAGAGCAAAGGUGUGAUUCCGCCGGAGGAGCGGCCGACAUGGUAUUAGCUAGUUGGCGGGGUAACGGCCCACCAAGGCUGUGAUGCCUAGGGGAUGUGAGAGCAUGAUCCCCACCAUUGGGACUGAGACACUGCCCAGACACCUACGGGUGGCUGCAGUCGAGAAUCUUCGUCAAUGGGCGAAAGCCUGAACGAGCGACGCCGCGUGCGGGAUGAAGGCCCUUGGGUUGUAAACCGCUGUCGAGGGGGAUGAAGGCUUGAAGGUACUCCUUCAAGUUUGACAGAGCCCUGGAGGAAGCACGGGCUAAGUUCGUGCCAGCAGCCGCGGUAAGGCACGACUGU